AUUGAACGCUGGCGGAAUGCUUUACACAUGCGAGUCGACCGGUAGAGGGGCAACCCUUGAGAGUGGCGAACGGGUGAGUAAUGUAUCGGAACAUGCCCAGUCGUGGGGGAUAACGUAGCGAAAGUUACGCCAAUACCGCAUACGAUCUGUGGAUUAAAGCGGGGGAUCGCAAGACCUAGCGCGGUUGGGGUGGCCGAUAUCAGAUUAGGGAGUUGGUGGGGUAAAGGCCUACCAAGCCGUCGAUCUGUAGCUGGUCUGCGAGAAUGACCAGCCACACUGGGACUGAGACACGGCCCAGAUUCCUACGGGAGGCAGCAGUGGGGAAUUUUGGACAAUGGGCGAAAGCCUGAUCCAGCCAUUCCGCGUGCAGGAAGAAGGCCUUCGGGUUGUAAACUGCUUUUGUACGGAACGAAACGCGCUGUGCUAAUACCACGGCGUAAUGACGGUACCGUAAGAAUAAGCACCGGCUAACUACGUGCCAGCCGCCGCGGUAACAC
rnacentral:rRNA from 1 species